UAGAAAAAUAAGCUAAUUUAAAGCUAUUGGACUCAUAAUUCAAAUAUAGAUUAAUCUUUUUUCU
rnacentral:tRNA from 1 species